UCCCAUAAAUAAAUAAAUAAAUAAAUAAAUAAAUAAAUAAAUAAAUAAAUAAAUAAAUAAAUAAAUAAAUAAAUAAAAUCUUAAAAAAACUUAAGGUUUGUCUUAUGGGAUUGCAUGUUAUCUAGGUUUUGGCUGCCUUUCAGAGCUCUUCUCCCUCUUCCUCUUCCCUCCCACGCUCAGUCUCUGGUGCCUUAUUGUAGCUCAGAACCUUUGCAUUUUGUAUUCCACCUGCCUGGACCCUCUUUCUCUUGAGAUGGUGCAUGUGGAUUCCUCCCUCUACUCAGUUGUCUGCUCAGUUGUUGCCUUCUCAGUUCCCCACUGCUCUGUCCAAAUGGCCAUGCCAUCCUGCUCUAGUUUUGUUUUUCCUUUGACCUUGCUGCAUUUUUCUUCAUUGCACUCACCACUACCUGGCAUUCUGUGAUAUGCGUAUUUGUUGUCUUGAUCACUUGGUAUAUCUGCAGCUACGUGACUCUGCUCGCCUGUAAUAGGUGCUUAGAUUUGCUAAAUGGGAGUGUGAGGUACAGCCAAGUGGAUUUCAGCCCAGGAAGUGCUGGUAGGUUAAUUGCACGAAACUUCAAUGUUAGUAGUGCCAAGUCUUUGUCACAAAUAAAAACAUCUUUUUAAAAAUUUACUGAAAAUAGUUUUAAGAGUUUGUGUCUUGGAGUUGACAAAUUGGCAGUGAAUGUGAGCUCAGAUGAAAUCUUGACCAGUUUAUGUCCAGAUUAGAGGGGCCCACAAACCUAUUGGAAGGGGUGUUGUGUAGGCAGUAGAGAUAUAGGAGCCUAACAGAACUUAGAUACUCUGGUGGCUGUGAUUUGUGGUAAAUCGGAAAAGGGAACUAGCUAUAAUUUGAGAAGUAGUUUUCUCUCUGUUGGUUUUCAAAAAUUGGCUGUUUGUAAAUGGUGGCUCUAAAGCUUUUUGGUGUCUGCAUCCCUGUAUACUCGUGAGUUAUUGAGGGACCCCAAAGAACUUUUGUUUAUGUGGGCCCUAGCUAUCGAUAUUUAUCAUCUUAUAUAAAUUAAGCUGACAAUUAAAAAAUAAUCCUUUAGAAAUGGUAAACAUGUUAACGUAUUACAGUUUUAGUGAAAAAAAAACUUUUUUGAAACACAGACAUGGUAAGUGAGAAGAAUGGCUUGUUUUACCUUUUUGCAGUGUUUCUAAUACCUGGCUAGAUUCUCUGCUGCUGCUGCAUUCAGUGUGCUGCCAUUCACCUGCCCUUUGCCUCCAGAAAACCUCCACUGCACAUUUGGGAGUAAAUGAGUGACAAAGGCAGCUAACACCUUGGCAUUACUACUGUUAUGACACUUUUGAGCUCAUAGACGUCCUGAAGGAUGAUUUAAUCCUCCCAAUUGCCCUGUGAGCACCCGGGCCAGAACUAGGACCAUGUAGAUGUGAUGCUGCCCUCUGCCUGGACCUAUUCAUCUGACUGGACCCUGAGCAGUCUGGCCAAGGGCUCAUUUCUUCAUGGUCCAAUUGUGGCAGCAUCUUAUCUAAGAAUGUUUUCAGAAGCAGGAUCCUAUGAAGAAGAGACAGGUCCCUCUGCCAUAGAAGCCAGCUCUCAGAUGGAGCAGUUGGUGUUGAGUGCAGUGGUUUAUCUCCUGCAGGAUCUAAGUGCAUGAAUUCCGAGAAAUGUCUGAAUGCAGGGAGCCUGAAGUAGAUGCUGCCCCUCCCUGGGUCAGCCUGUCUUGGUUGCCUAGCAGCCUGACUGUUUCCAUGGUGCUCCGUUACCAAGGCGGCAGAUCCAUUGCCCUGCGGAAUGUCUGCUCUGAUCAUUGGUACUGCAAAGCUGCUCGUAUUUUCUUUUAUUCUUUUUUUGGUAACUAGACUCUGAACGGUAUUUAGCAUAUGUUAUCUAAGAUAUUUCCUGGGAAAAACAAUGGAUAAAAGAGUAAGACUGUUCUAACAUAUGGAAUAUAAGGUGCACCUUCUAGGAAAGGUGGUCCCCUUCAUUCUGAGAGUGUUUUUGAAAACCUUUGGUGGCUACAUUGUGUAUGUAGGCUUUUAAAUAUCCUUAUAAAGACUUGUUAUUUUGGGACUCUUCUGGUAGAUGAUUAA